GGCCAGCCGCCGCGGUAAUACAGAGGGUGCGAGCGUUGUUCGGAAUUAUUGGGCGUAAAGCGCUGGUAGGUGGCUUGUUAAGUCGCGUGUGAAAUCUCCAGGCUCAACCUGGAAAGUGCGCGCGAAACUGGCGAGCUUGAGUGCCGGAGAGGGUCGCGGAAUUCCCGGUGUAGAGGAGAAAUCGGUAGAUAUCGGGAGGAACACCAGAGGCGAAGGCGGCGACCUGGAAGGUAACUGACACUGAGCAGCGAAAGCGUGGGGAGAAAACAGGAGUAG
rnacentral:rRNA from 1 species